CCUACGGGGGGCAGCAGUGAGGAAUAUUGGUCAAUGGCCGCAAGGCUGAACCAGCCAUGCCGCGUGAAGGUCAGUGCCCUAUGGGCGUUAAACUUCUUUUGUGCGGGAGCAAUAAUGGUCACGUGUGGCCAGACGAGAGUACCGUACGAAUAAGCAUCGGCUAACUCCGUGCCAGCAGCCGCGGUAAUACGGGGGGUGCAAGCGUUAUCCGGAUUUAUUUGGGUUAAAGGGUGCGUAGGAUGGGAGGUAAGUCAGCGGUGAAAUGCCCCCGCUCAACGGGGUGAAGUGCCAUUGAUACUGGCUUGCUGGAAUGCGGAUGCCGUGGGAGGAAUGUGUGGUGUAGCGGUGAAAUGCAUAGAUAUCACACAGAACACCGAUUGCGAAGGCAGCUCACGAAUCCGCGAUUGACGCUGAUGCACGAAAGCGUGGGUAUCAAACAGGAUUAGAUACCCCAGUAGUC
rnacentral:rRNA from 1 species